UGGGGAAUUUUGGGACAAUGGGGCGAAAGCCUGAUCCAGCAAUGCCGCGUGUGUGAAGAAAGCCUUCGGGUUGUAAAGCACUUUUGUCCGGAAAGAAAUCCUUGGCUCUAAUACAGUCGGGGGAUGACGGUACCGGAAGAAUAAGCACCGGCUAACUACGUGCCAGCAGCCGCGGUAAUACGUAGGGUGCAAGCGUUAAUCGGAAUUACUGGGCGUAAAGCGUGCGCAGGCGGUUGCUAAGACCGAUGUGAAAUCCCGGGCUCAACCUGGGAACUGCAUUGGUGACUGGCAGGCUAGAGUAUGGCAGAGGGGGGUAGAAUUCCACGUGUGAGCAGUGAAAGUGCGUAGAGAUGUGGAGGAAUACCGAUGGCGAAGGCAGCCCCCUGGGCCAAUACUGACGCUCAUGCACGAAAGCGUGGGGGAGC
rnacentral:rRNA from 1 species